AACGAACGCUGGCGGCAGGCCUAACACAUGCAAGUCGAGCGAGGACUUCGGUACUAGCGGCGGACGGGUGAGUAACGCGUGGGAACGUGAACUUUGCUUCGGAAUAGCCCUGGGAAACGGGGAAUAAUACCGGAUGAGCCCUAUGGGGGAAAGAUUUAUCGGCGAAGGAUCGGCCCGCGUUGGAUUAGGUAGUUGGUGGGGUAAUGGCCUACCAAGCCGACGAUCCAUAGCUGGUUUGAGAGGAUGAUCAGCCACACUGGGACUGAGACACGGCCCAGACUCCUACGGGAGGCAGGAGUGGGGAAUCUUAGACAAUGGGGGAAACCCUGAUCGAGCCAUGCCGCUUGAGCGAUGAAGGCCUGAGGGUUGUAAAGCUCUUUCAGCUGUGAAGAUAAUGACGGUACCAGCAGAAGAAGCCCCGGCUAACUCCGUG
rnacentral:rRNA from 1 species